ACGGAAGGCAGCAGUGGGGAAUAUUGCACAAUGGGGGAAACCCUGAUGCAGCGACGCCGCGUGAGUGAAGAAGUAUUUCGGUAUGUAAAGCUCUAUCAGCAAGGAAGAAAAUGACGGUACUUGACUAAGAAGCCCCGGCUAACUACGUGCCAGCAGCCGCGGUAAUACGUAGGGGGCAAGCGUUAUCCGGAUUUACUGGGUGUAAAGGGAGCGUAGACGGCAUAGCAAGUCUGAAGUGAAAUGCAUGGGCUCAACCCAUGAACUGCUUUGGAAACUGUUAAGCUAGAGUGCAGGAGGGGUAAGUGGAAUUCCUAGUGUAGCGGUGAAAUGCGUAGAUAUUAGGAGGAACACCAGUGGCGAAGGCGGCUUACUGGACGAUAACUGACGUUGAGGCUCGAAAGCGUGGGGAGCAAACAGGAUUAGAUACCCUGGUA
rnacentral:rRNA from 1 species